AGCCCACUCACCGUCGGACGGCGAACUUCCUCCUCUCCGUUUCAUUCUCCGGCAGAUCAAGCGAUUGGAUUUUUGAAAUAUGACGUUGCUGAAGAGGUAUGUGUUGAGAUUGUUCAUAUCAUUGAAAUACAUCACUGCAAAUGUGGUAGACAGAAACAACGGGCGUAUAGUUGCAACAUCAUCUACUGUUGAACAUUCAGUGAAACAGUCACUUGAGUGCGGUAGAACUUGCAAUGCAAAGGCUGCAGCGAUUGUAGGAGAAGUGUUGGCAAUGCGUCUCAAAGUGGAGGGUCUUGAUCAGGGGCAAGGAAAUGGGAUCCAUGUCAAUGUAAAUAAAGAGGUUGAGAAGAAAGGUUUCAAGAAUCGUACAAAAGUUUGGGCUAUAGUUAACGGCCUUAAGAGCAAUGGAGUGAAGCUUAUUUUGGAUGACAAUGAAAAUGGCACUUCUCGCCCUAACUUCCACUAGAACAGUGCGCUGAUCUUCUUAUCGCACGCCUACAAGGUCUCACUACAAGAGUUGAAGAAGGUGCAGUCAUAAUUGAGCCUGAUUGCUGAAGCUAGUGAGUGACUUGGGGCAACUGAGGUUGGAUAGAAUGAGAUCAAUACUAAAACAGAGGCGGAUUCAGGAUCUGAAGUCUAGCAUUCCCACAACGUUUUCAAGUUAAUAUACAAUGAUAAGUGGGUUUACACUUUACAAUCAAACAUUCAUAGACAUUUCUACAUUUGUAGGAACUGGACAAACACUAAUAUGUUCACGUGAACACAUAGACGACACUCUAAAUCCACCUCCGUUUUCAAAGUGGUUAGCUUCUAAUCAUCUCUCUUUUUCUUCAUACUAUUUCGACCCGUUUUUUUUACCAUCUAUCCGAAGUCCAGCUUAACAGAGCCCAAACAGACAAGUUGUUGUAUAUCCAGCUUUAGAUUUUGUGUUGUAGAUUUGUAAUGUUUAG
rnacentral:misc_RNA from 1 species